UUUUUUCCUUUUAAUCCUCACUCCCGAACUGGAGAACCUGUUGACUGACUGAGCGGGCUUGGUCACUUGUCACAGACAGAAAUGCAGCUCUUCUCGGAGUGUUCAAUACAGAUCAUGAACCAUCUGCCCUAGCUUCUUCCCAGGUUGCAGAUUUAUCCGAGGAGUUUUGCAAAUUCCGCAGCUCUUGGUCUCUCCACUGAUCACGCACAUCAGGACAAUGGGACGUUUCUCUAAUGGAACACAUGCAGCACAACCACCAGCAUACUCUACUCCACAUGACUGUCAGAUUGUCAUAGAGCAUAACGCAUGAGAUAGGAGCAAGGAACGAGGUUAUUUGAAGCAACCCCAUAAAUCAGUGUGUCAAAGACCUAGAAGCAGGACGGGUCCUCUGGAAGCGCUGCUUGAUCUCACACUGGCCCACACUGAUUCCUUACGUGGUUUCAGAGGAUUUGGAUAAAAGGACUCCUGUGGACCCCUACAUUGGUGGCUUAACACUUGACUGUUCAACGAAAAGCCCUUCUUUUCUCGUAUUCCUUCUUAUGCAUGCAUUGAGACGACUGCAUUUUCUCAGUACUGAGAGAUCUGGGCUCUAACAGGCUGUCCACCUCACAGACAAGAAAAUAAGCUUUGAAACCCUUCGCUCAGUAUUAAUAUCUACAGGGUUCUGC
rnacentral:lncRNA from 1 species